UACGUAGGGUGCGAGCGUUAAUCGGAAUUACUGGGCGUAAAGCGCGCGCAGGCGGUCCCUUAAGUCUGAUGUGAAAUCCCACGGCUCAACCGUGGAAGGUCAUUGGAAACUGGGGGACUUGAGUACAGAAGAGGAAAGCGGAAUUCCAAGUGUAGCGGUGAAAUGCGUAGAGAUUUGGAGGAACACCAGUGGCGAAGGCGGCUUUCUGGUCUGUAACUGACGCUGAGGCGCGAAAGCGUGGGGAGCAAACAGG
rnacentral:rRNA from 1 species